rnacentral:rRNA from 1 species
AACGAACGCUGGCGGCAUGCCUAACACAUGCAAGUCGAACGAAGCCUUCGGGCUUAGUGGCGCACGGGUGCGCAACGCGUGGGAAUCUGCCCUUGGGUUCGGAAUAACAGUUAGAAAUGACUGCUAAUACCGGAUGGUGUCUUCGGACCAAAGAUUUAUCGCCCAAGGAUGAGCCCGCGUAGGAUUAGGUAGUUGGUGGGGUAAUGGCCCACCAAGCCGACGAUCCUUAGCUGGUCCGAGAGGAUGAUCAGCCACACUGGGACUGAGACACGGCCCAGACUCCUACGGGAGGCAGCAGUGGGGAAUAUUGAACAAUGGGCGAAAGCCUGAUCCAGCAAUGCCGCGUGAGUGAUGAAGGCCUUAGGGUUGUAAAGCUCUUUUACCAGGGAUGAUAAUGACAGUACCUGGAGAAUAAGCUCCGGCUAACUCCGUGCCAGCAGCCGCCGUAAUAC